CACUGACAAAGAAAUGAUCAGUCUAUAAUUUUAAUGGUAGAUUUAUUUGAACAGUGAGAGACAGAAUAACAACAAAAAAAUCCAGAAAAACGCACGUCAAAAAUGCUAUAAAUUGAUUUGCAUUUUAAUGAGGGAAAUAAGUAUUUGACCCCUCUGCAAAACAUGACUUAGUACUUGGUUUAAAAACCCUUGUUGGCAAUCACAGAGGUCAGACGUUUCUUGUAGUUGGCCACCAGGUUUGCACACAUCUCAGGAGGGAUUUUGUCCCACUCCUCUUUGCAGAUCUUCUCCAAGUCAUUAAGGUUUCGAGGCUGACGUUUGGCAACUCGAACCUUCAGCUCCCUCCACAGAUUUUCUAUGGGAUUAAGGUCUGGAGACUGGCUAGGCCACUCCAGGACCUUAAUGUGCUUCUUCUUGAGCCACUCCAUUGUUGCCUUGGCCGUGUGUUUUGGGUCAUCGUCAUGCUGGAAUACCCAUCCACGAGCCAUUUUCAAUGCCCUGGCUGAGGGAAGGAGGUUCUCACCCAAGAUUUGACGGUACAUGGCCCCGUCCAUCGUCCCUUUGAUGCGGUGAAGUUGUCCUGUCUCCUUAGCAGAAAAAC
ensembl:lncRNA